UCUUUGCACUUAAACUUUUG
rnacentral:miRNA from 1 species